UGUCGUCGAGGUAGGUGAGUCCAUUCCCAAGGCUUUGUUGAACGGGAUAGGUACCGAGCCCAAGGGACACGCCGAGCUACAAGAUCUCUAUUAUGUCAAGGAAAGGCGGAAUGAGCUUCUUGGGACUUUCGUUUCGUUCGUUCGAUGAACCGAUCGUUCAAUAGGAUUCAUUUUGGCUUUGAUGAAUCUUGAUUUGCAAAGUCGCGUAUAAAUUUAGAGCGAAGGGAGUAAAAUCCAUCGCAAAAUCCGGCACACAACAGGGUCGUAAAUAAUCAACGGCUCUUCGAUCCGACAACAAUAUUGUAACACCGAUACUACCGUUGCCGAUAACGUGCGAUUGACAGGUAAAUUUACUUCGUUGCUAGCAAAUGAACAUAAAGGAUUCAGGAAUAUUCGAAGGGCAUUAACACAGCCGAUCGUCGGUGUCAAAGACUAAUU